GAGAGAGAGAUCUGGACGGAGAAAGAACAAAUGUGAAGAGAAAAGCGAAGAUGCCGGAGAACAAGGCGACAGUGUACAGGACCAGCAGCUACCUGUCCCACUCUGCCUACAGGAAGAUCAAGCGGGUUCUGAGCUUCAGGAGGCGUGUGUUUGGCCAGCGGCUGGAGGAGACGGUUCUGUAUGAGCGGCGUUACGGGGUACACAUGGCACCGCUGGUGGUGGAGCAGUGUGUGGACUUCAUCCGGGGGCGGGGUCUUCUGGAGGUGGGAUUGUUCCGCCAGCCAGGUCAGGCCACGCUGGUUAAAGAGUUGCAGGAUGCCUUCGACGCUGGGGAGAAGCCCUCCUUUGACAGCAGUACAGACGUGCACACCGUGGCGUCGCUCCUGAAGCUGUAUCUGCGGGAGCUGCCAGAGCCACUGGUGCCCUUCUCCAGAUACCAGGACUUCCUGGUGUGUGGCAAGAAGAUCUCCUCUGAGACGAAGCAGAGUUUGACAGAACUACGGCAUCUUCUUCAUCAACUUCCAGUGGCUAACUUCAACCUGCUCAACUACAUCUGCCAGUUUUUGAACGAAGUCCAGUCCUAUUCUAGCAGCAACAAGAUGAGCACCCAGAACCUGGCUACUGUUUUUGGCCCAAACAUCCUACGACCCAAAGCUGAAGAUCCAGAGAGUAUCAUUGGAGGGGCAGCCGUGGUGCAGCAGCUUAUGUCCGAGCUGAUCAGGGAGCACCUGUGCCUUUUCUCCAGGGAGGGGGGAGACAUAGAGGCCCCUGGCUCUUCACGCCCUGACUCUUACCCAUGUCAGAGAUGGAAAGGAGACCCAUUCGAGGGGGCGCACAUCCAGCCAACAGCCCAGACCCAGUCGCAUGAUUACAGUCUGGGCAUAACAGCCGAGCACCUCCCCCAACAACAGCUAGCACACCAUCCUUCCCCUUGCUCCCGCCAGCUCUCCCUGCCUCUGAUCCCUAAGAGGAGAGGUUCGGCCCAAAACCCAGAUGAAACCAGCUUAGCCACACGGCUGUCCAUCACAGACCACCAGCAGCAGCCAGCUGAGAUGUUCUCUCCAGUGAGUCUUGCUUCUGGGCCUCUGUACCACAGACACACUCUGUCCCAGUCAGAGUCCCAGCCCACUGAGACCGCAGACAGCCCCCACCCUGCCUCCCAACUCACAGAAUCUGCAUCCACAGUGACGCUACAGGCAGCCCCAGAACCCAGCAGCAUGCUGCUCGUUGGCUGGAGGGGCCCAGAGGAUCCCAGCUGGGCUGCAGAACAGGGGACUACUGGCACCAGUGGUAGCAGUGAGGCUCAGGACAGUACUCUGUCUGUCUAUGACAACCUGGACACACAACAACGCAUGGAGGAGGUGGCUGCGGAUGGUGGUGGGGGCAGCCCUGCUGGCCCAGUGGAGGUGGGCACGACCAGCAUGGUAGACACCAGAAGCUCCUGGUCUUCCUGUGAGAUUCUGUCCCUGGAAGACAAUGGGUGUGGUGUGGUCAGAACCAGCCCAGGACGGGGGUCCACUAGAUUCCCCUCCUUCAGGACUGACCCAGGAGACGAGGACCUCCCUCCUAACUCCCCAGUCUCCUCCUCUGCCCUCACUGAUGCCCCCCUGAGCACGGGCAGCUCGGAGGUCUUCCUGCCCUCUGCUCCUCCAGACCUCCGCGUCCCCCCGGCCUCCCAGGCCAUGCACUGGCUCUUGACUGGCCUCAGACAACAGAUGGCCAGGCAGAGGGCUGAGUUCGAGGCCAAGAUCCAGAGGUUGGAGAUGCGUAACGAGGCCCUCCAGGGGGAGGUGGUGGGACUGCGGACCAGCCUGGAGCAGCAGCGUCGCUGGCACAGUGUGGCCGAGAUCAAGAUCCGCAACGUGGAGCGUGCCAGGGCCGAUGCCGACCGCCGCAACACCACUCUGCAGAGGGAGAUGGAGCAGUUCUUUGAUACCUUCGGAGAGCUGAACGCUGAGGCCCGGAAGAGCGAAGGUUAGGGUUAGCACCCCUGGAGAGCUGAGCGCUGAGGCCAGGAAGAGCGAAGGUUAGGGUUAGCACCCCUGGAGAGCUGAGCGCUGAGGCCAGGAAGAGCGAAGGUUAGGGUUAGCACCCCUGGAGAGCUGAACGCUGAGGCCAGGAAGAGCGAAGGUUAGGGUUAGCACCCCUGGAGAGCUGAACGCUGAGGCCAGGAAGAGCGAAGGUUAGGGUUAGCACCCCUGGAGAGCUGAACGCUGAGGCCAGGAAGAGCGAAGGUUAGGGUUAGCACCCCUGGAGAGCUGAGCGCUGAGGCCAGGAAGAGCGAAGGUUAGGGUUAGCACCCCUGGAGAGCUGAGCGCUGAGGCCAGGAAGAGCGAAGGUUAGGGUUAGCACCCCUGGAGAGCUGAACGCUGAGGCCAGGAAGAGCGAAGGUUAGGGUUAGCACCCCUGGAGAGCUGAACGCUGAGGCCAGGAAGAGCGAAGGUUAGGGUUAGCACCCCUGGAGAGCUGAACGCUGAGGCCAGGAAGAGCGAAGGUUAGGGUUAGCACCCCUGGAGAGCUGAGCGCUGAGGCCAGGAAGAGCGAAGGUUAGGGUUAGCACCCCUGGAGAGCUGAGCGCUGAGGCCAGGAAGAGCGAAGGUUAGGGUUAGCACCCCUGGAGAGCUGAACGCUGAGGCCAGGAAGAGCGAAGGUUAGGGUUAGCACCCCUGGAGAGCUGAACGCUGAGGCCAGGAAGAGCGAAGGUUAGGGUUAGCACCCCUGGAGAGCUGAACGCUGAGGCCAGGAAGAGCGAAGGUUAGGGUUAGCACCCCUGGAGAGCUGAACGCUGAGGCCAGGAAGAGCGAAGGUUAGGGUUAGCACCCCUGGAGAGCUGAGCGCUGAGGCCAGGAAGAGCGAAGGUUAGGGUUAGCACCCCUGGAGAGCUGAACGCUGAGGCCAGGAAGAGCGAAGGUUAGGGUUAGCACCCCUGGAGAGCUGAACGCUGAGGCCAGGAAGAGCGAAGGUUAGGGUUAGCACCCCUGGAGAGCUGAGCGCUGAGGCCCGGAAGAGCGAAGGUUAGGGUUAGCACCCCUGGAGAGCUGAACGCUGAGGCCAGGAAGAGCGAAGGUUAGGGUUAGCACCCCUGGAGAGCUGAGCGCUGAGGCCAGGAAGAGCAAGCAUUUCUUACAGAGCUUCUGAUGGCCAGUCAGAUUAGAGAAAGAUGCCAUUAUCAGAGCACUACAAGAGCAGUAUCAGGAGAAAACACCAACCAUCUGAAUAGAAUAUAGAGAGAACUGUCUGUUGCCAUGAUUCAUCCAUAUUGGAUUUG